GUUGCCCUGCGCUGUGCGUGAUGUCGGGGGGAAGUUUCAACCUCGUUUCUACGCAGGACGCCGUACAGAGGGUGGUGCGCAUGCCCCUUCGACAAGGGGAAGCCUGAAGCCCUCCUUUUGGCGCCCACCUGGUCAUACCAGGUUCGAAACACCGUCGGCACACGGCAGAGGCGGGGCUGAU
rfam:Candidatus Rokubacteria bacterium GWA2_70_23 gwa2_scaffold_816, whole genome shotgun sequence.